rnacentral:rRNA from 1 species
AUUGAACGCUGGCGGCAGGCCUAACACAUGCAAGUCGAGCGGAGCGGCAGCCGGGGGAGUAAUGCCUAGGUAUCUGCCUGGUAGUGAGGGAGAACGUCCGGAAACGGGAGCUAAUACCGCAUACUAUCAGAUUAGCCUAGGUCGGAUUGGGUGUGUGGAGGGGUAAAGGCCUACCAACGCGACGAUCCGUAACUGGUCUGAGAGGAUGAUCAGGCACACUGGAACUGAGACACGGUCCAGACGCCUACGGGAGGCAGCAGUGGGGAAUAUUGGACAAUGGGCGAAAGCCUGAUCCAGCCAUGCCGCGUGUGUGAAGAAGGUCUUCGGAUUGUAAAGCACUUUAAGUUGGGAGGCGUUACCAACAGAAGAAGCACCGGCUAACUUCGUGCCAGCAGCCGCGGUAAUUC